CUGACACAGGUGCUGCAUGGCUGUCGUCAGCUCGUGUCGUGAGAUGUUGGGUUAAGUCCGUAACGAGCGCAACCCUUGUCCUUAGUUACCAGCACGUUAUGGUGGGCGACUCUAAGGAGGACUGCCGGUGACAAACCGGAGGAAGGUGGGGGAGUGACGUCAAGUCAUCAUGGCCCUUACGGCCUGGGCUACACACGUGCUACAAUGGUCGGUACAAAGGGUUGGCCAAGCCGCGAGGUGGAGCUAAUCCCAUAAAACCGAAUCGUAGUCCGGAUCGCAGUCUGCAACUCGACUGCGUGAAGUCGGAAUCGCUAGUAAUCGUGAAUCAGAAUGUCACGGUGAAUACGUUCCCGGGCCUU
rnacentral:rRNA from 1 species